rnacentral:snoRNA from 1 species
GGUCCCCGCUGGUAUGUACCAUGGUUUGUGGUCUUACACUGACUCUACAGAAAAAGGAGACAAAACCAGCCUACUUUGUGUGCACGCCAGUCCGGCCCCGAGGCAUGGAUUCAUUG